GACUGGGUUUGAGAGGUCAAGAUGGCAGCGGUUUGAUGAGCAUCUUCUCCUGCUGUCACCACUGAUGAAGUCACUGUUGGUUUUGUUGGAAGUGAAGUGGUGUUGAGGAUUACAGAUUUGGAUGUUGUAACUUUAUGGUCUGCAGAGACAGGCAGUUGUUGUUGUUGUUGUUGUUGUUGUUAUUGUUGUUGUUGUUCCCGAUGUUGGGGGUUUAACUGAUAAAGACAUGGAUGUGGUCCCUGUGGAAGGGCCUGAGGGGACAAUGCUAGGUGGUGAUACAGCUGAUGUUGGAAGAGAAGAGGUUUUGCUCACAGGUAAAGAUGUUGGUUGAGGUGUAACACCAGAGUUCAAAUGUUCAGAGACAGGAUUUGGUACAAAUGAUGAGGUGUUGUUAGCUGACGUGUUGUUUGACUGUGUUGAGAUUGGUAUAUUUUCAGAUGUUGAUCGUGCGGGGCUAGAUGACCUGAUGUUUAAUUUAGUAGUAGAGGAUAUAGGUGGUGUUGAUGGACUAUUGUCUGAAGCAUCAGUGUAUGGUGUAGUUGCUGAUGGUGUAGUUGCAGCUGUGAGUUUCAUGAGAAAGUUUGUGGUAGUGAAUAUUGGUUGUGUUGUGGUUGACUGUGAUGACUGUUGGUCAGAUGUUUGAACUGAACCUGAUUCAGAGUCUGAGAUGGUUGCUCCCUCGUUAAGUGAUGUGACUGAGGUGUCCACAGUCAGUGAUUGUGUUGCAAAGGGUUUAGUUAGCAGUGAUGCUGCUGUGUUUUCUGAUGAGAUAGGGUUUGAUGUUGUUGCCUCAUUUUGUAUCAUUCCAGCUGAACUUGACUGAAAAGCUUCAUUCGGUAUUGUGUGUCUUGAUGUUGCUGUCACAGUGGGAGUUGUAGCUCCUGACUGGGUUUGAGAGGUCAAGAUGGCAGCGGUUUGAUGAGCAUCAUCUCCCGCUGUCACCACUGAUGAAGUCAUUGUUGGUUUUGUUGGAAGCGAAGUGGUGUUGAUGAUUACAGAUUUGGAUGUUGUCACUUUAUGGUCUGCAGAGACAAGCAGCGUUGUUGUUGUUGUUGUUGUUGUUGAUGCUGUUGUUUUUGUUGUUGUUCCCGAUGUUGGGGGUUUAACUGAUAAAGACAUGGGUGUGGUCCCUGUGGAAGGGCCUGAGGGGACAAUGCUAGGUGGUGAUACAGCUGAUGUUGGAAGAGAAGAGGUUUUGCUCACAGGUAAAGAUGUUGGUUGAGGUGUAACACCAGAGUUCAAAUGUUCAGAGACAGGGUUUGGUACAAAUGAUGAGGUGUUGUUAGCUGGCGUGUUGUUUGACUGUGUUGAGAUUGGUAUAUUUUCAGAUGUUGAUCGUGUGGGGCUGGCUGACCUGAUGUUUAAUUGAGUAGUAGUGGAUAUAGGUGGUGUUGAUGGACUGUCGUCUGAAGUAUCAGUGUAUGGUGUAGUUGCUGAUGGUGUAGUUGCAGCUGCGAGUUUCAUAAGAAUGUUUGUGGAAGAGAAUAUUGGUUGUGUUGUGGUUGACUGUGAUGACUGUUGUUCAGAUGUUGGAACUGGACCUGUUUCAGAGUCUGAGAUGGUUGUAUCCUCGUUAGGUGAUGUGACUGAGGUGUCCACAGUCAGUGAUUGUGUUGCAAAGGGUUUAGUUAGCAGUGAUGCUGCUGUGUUUUCUGAUGCGAUAGGGUUUGAUGUUGUUACCUCAUUUUGUAUCAUUCCAGCUGAACUUGGCUGAAAAGUUUCAUUCGAUAUUGUGUGUGUUGAUGUUCCUGUCACAGUGGGAGUUGUAGCUCCUGACUGGGUUUGAGAGGUCAAGAUGGCAGCGGUUUGAUGAGCUUCUUCCCCUGCUGUCCCCACUGAUGAAGACACUGUUGGUUUUGUUGGAAGCGAGGUGGUGUUGAGGAUUACAGAUUUGGAUGUUGUCACUUUAUGGUCUGCAGAGACAGGCAGCGUUGUUGUUGUUGUUGUUGAUGCUGUUGUUUUUGUUGUUGUUGUUCCCGAUGUUGGGGGUUUAACUGAUAAAGACAUGGGUGUGGUCCCUGUGGAAGGGCCUGAGGGGACAAUGCUAGGUGGUGAUGCAGCUGAUGUUGGAAGAGAAGAGGUUUUGCUCACAGGUAAAGAUGUUGGUUGAGGUGUAACACCAGAGUUCAAAUGUUCAGAGACAGGGUUUGGUACGAAAGAUGAGGUGCUGUUAGCUGAUGUGUUGUUUGACUGUAUAGAAAUUGGUGUAUUUUCAGAUGUUGAUCGUGUGGGAAUGGCUGAGGUGAUGUUUAAUUGAGUAAUAGACACUGAUGAAUCACUACUGUCUGUUGUUUUAGUUUGAAAUGAUUUAGGUGUUGCUGAUAAUUCUGUGAAUGAGUUAUUUUCAGUAUUGUGUGGAUGCGUUGUAGCAAAGGGAAUGCUGGCUGAUGACGACAGAGUUGCAGUUGUUU
ensembl:lncRNA